UACGCGUCCAACGUGCUCAACGUAUUAUCUUGAUUAAUUUUCUGUAUCAAUUUAAAUAUUUAUCAAUAUGCAGCUUAUGCAUGUUGCUCUUGAAUGAUCAGAUCACCUGAUUGAAGAGAAGAUAUCGACAUUCUCCAGUCUUCAAUCCAAAAAAAGGAACAGCUCUUUAAACUCAAAAAAGAAGUCUAACGACAACAAAAAUAUUUUUGAAGCGCAGUCUUUAUAAUAAAUACAAUGAGUUACUUUGAAGCCUUAGCUGGAUAAUUAUUCAUUCACACAACAUUCUACUAAGUUUUGUGAUUUGUACAGCAAUUGUUCUGAUUUUCCUCUGUAAAUUCAUAAAACAAUCAGUUUAAAGCAGUCUUGGUUGAGGUUUGGAAAUUAAAUUUUUUUAUCAACUUUCAAGCUUAAAAACUUGCAUGGCUCAAAUUUUGGUUCUCUAUUUGUACAUGUGAAUUUAUCUUGUGAUUUCAACGUUGUAUAGAAUGUACAGUGCCGGUCAGCCACUUUUACCCCCCCGCGGGCAAAAUCAGUCUAACUUCAAAGUUUUAUAUCUCUGGUAGAAAUUAACG